rnacentral:rRNA from 1 species
UUAAGCGACUAAGCGUACACGGUGGAUGCCCUGGCAGUCAGAGGCGAUGAAGGACGUGCUAAUCUGCGAAAAGCGUCGGUAAGGUGAUAUGAACCGUUAUAGCCGGCGAUGUCCGAAUGGGGAAACCCAGUGCAAUUCGUUGCACUAUCGUUAACUGAAUACAUAGGUUAACGAGGCGAACCGGGGGAACUGAAACAUCUAAGUACCCCGAGGAAAAGAAAUCAACCGAGAUUCCCCCAGUAGCGGCGAGCGAACGGGGAGCAGCCCAGAGUCUGAAUCAGCUUGUGUGUUAGUGGAACGGUCUGGAAAGUCCGACGGUACAGGGUGAUAGUCCCGUACACCAAAAUGCACAGGCUGUGAACUCGAAGAGUAGGGCGGGACACGUGGUAUCCUGUCUGAAUAUGGGGGGACCAUCCUCCAAGGCUAAAUACUCCUGACUGACCGAUAGUGAACCAGUACCGUGAGGGAAAGGCGAAAAGAACCCCGGCGAGGGGAGUGAAAAAGAACCUGAAACCGUGUACGUACAAGCAGUGGGAGCACCUUCGGGUGUGACUGCGUACCUUUUGUAUAAUGGGUCAGCGACUUAUAUUCUGUAGCAAGGUUAACCGUAUAGGGGAGCCGCAGGGAAACCGAGUCUUAACUGGGCGUUAAGUUGCAGGGUAUAGACCCGAAACCCGGUGAUCUAGCCAUGGGCAGGUUGAAGGUUGGGUAACACUAACUGGAGGACCGAACCGACUAAUGUUGAAAAAUUAGCGGAUGACUUGUGGCUGGGGGUGAAAGGCCAAUCAAACCGGGAGAUAGCUGGUUCUCCCCGAAAGCUAUUUAGGUAGCGCCUCGUGAACUCAUCUUCGGGGGUAGAGCACUGUUUCGGCUAGGGGGUCAUCCCGACUUACCAACCCGAUGCAAACUACGAAUACCGAAGAAUGUUAUCACGGGAGACACACGGCGGGUGCUAACGUCCGUCGUGAAGAGGGAAACAACCCAGACCGCCAGCUAAGGUCCCAAAGUCAUGGUUAAGUGGGAAACGAUGUGGGAAGGCACAGACAGCCAGGAUGUUGGCUUAGAAGCAGCCAUCAUUUAAAGAAAGCGUAAUAGCUCACUGGUCGAGUCGGCCUGCGCGGAAGAUGUAACGGGGCUAAACCAUGCACCGAAGCUGCGGCAGCGACACUAUGUGUUGUUGGGUAGGGGAGCGUUCUGUAAGCCUGCGAAGGUGACCUGUGAGGGUUGCUGGAGGUAUCAGAAGUGCGAAUGCUGACAUAAGUAACGAUAAAGCGGGUGAAAAGCCCGCUCGCCGGAAGACCAAGGGUUCCUGUCCAACGUUAAUCGGGGCAGGGUGAGUCGACCCCUAAGGCGAGGCCGAAAGGCGUAGUCGAUGGGAAACAGGUUAAUAUUCCUGUACUUGGUGUUACUGCGAAGGGGGGACGGAGAAGGCUAUGUUAGCCGGGCGACGGUUGUCCCGGUUUAAGCAUGUAGGCUGGUUGUCCAGGCAAAUCCGGAUAAUCAAGGCUGAGGUGUGAUGACGAGGCACUACGGUGCUGAAGUAACAAAUGCCCUGCUUCCAGGAAAAGCCUCUAAGCAUCAGGUAACAUUAAAUCGUACCCCAAACCGACACAGGUGGUCAGGUAGAGAAUACCAAGGCGCUUGAGAGAACUCGGGUGAAGGAACUAGGCAAAAUGGUGCCGUAACUUCGGGAGAAGGCACGCUGGUGUGUAGGUGAAGUCCCUGCGGAUGGAGCUGAGACCAGUCGAAGAUACCAGCUGGCUGCAACUGUUUAUUAAAAACACAGCACUGUGCAAACACGAAAGUGGACGUAUACGGUGUGACGCCUGCCCGGUGCCGGAAGGUUAAUUGAUGGGGUUAUCCGUAAGGAGAAGCUCUUGAUCGAAGCCCCGGUAAACGGCGGCCGUAACUAUAACGGUCCUAAGGUAGCGAAAUUCCUUGUCGGGUAAGUUCCGACCUGCACGAAUGGCGUAAUGAUGGCCAGGCUGUCUCCACCCGAGACUCAGUGAAAUUGAACUCGCUGUGAAGAUGCAGUGUACCCGCGGCAAGACGGAAAGACCCCGUGAACCUUUACUAUAGCUUGACACUGAACAUUGAGCCUUGAUGUGUAGGAUAGGUGGGAGGCUUUGAAGCGUGGACGCCAGUCUGCGUGGAGCCAACCUUGAAAUACCACCCUUUAAUGUUUGAUGUUCUAACGUUGGCCCCUUACCGGGGUUGCGGACAGUGUCUGGUGGGUAGUUUGACUGGGGCGGUCUCCUCCUAAAGCGUAACGGAGGAGCACGAAGGUUAGCUAAUCCUGGUCGGACAUCAGGAGGUUAGUGCAAUGGCAUAAGCUAGCUUGACUGCGAGCGUGACGGCGCGAGCAGGUGCGAAAGCAGGUCAUAGUGAUCCGGUGGUUCUGAAUGGAAGGGCCAUCGCUCAACGGAUAAAAGGUACUCCGGGGAUAACAGGCUGAUACCGCCCAAGAGUUCAUAUCGACGGCGGUGUUUGGCACCUCGAUGUCGGCUCAUCACAUCCUGGGGCUGAAGUAGGUCCCAAGGGUAUGGCUGUUCGCCAUUUAAAGUGGUACGCGAGCUGGGUUUAGAACGUCGUGAGACAGUUCGGUCCCUAUCUGCCGUGGGCGCUGGAGAAUUGAGGGGGGCUGCUCCUAGUACGAGAGGACCGGAGUGGACGCAUCACUGGUGUUCGGGUUGUCAUGCCAAUGGCACUGCCCGGUAGCUAAAUGCGGAAGAGAUAAGUGCUGAAAGCAUCUAAGCACGAAACUUGCCCCGAGAUGAGUUCUCCCUGAGACUUUAAGUCUCCUGAAGGAACGUUAAAGACGAUGACGUUGAUAGGCCGGGUGUGUAAGCGCAGCGAUGCGUUGAGCUAACCGGUACUAAUGAACCGUGAGGCUUAACCUU